rnacentral:rRNA from 1 species
CAAUACGAGCGGCAGACGGGUGAGUAACGCGUGGGAAUCUACCCAUCUCUACGGAACAACUCCGGGAAACUGGAGCUAAUACCGUAUACGUCCUUUUGGAGAAAGAUUUAUCGGAGAUGGAUGAGCCCGCGUUGGAUUAGCUAGUUGGUGGGGUAAUGGCCUACCAAGACGACGAUCCAUAGCUGGUCUGAGAGGAUGAUCAGCCACACUGGGACUGAGACACGGCCCAGACUCCUACGGGAGGCAGCAGAU